rnacentral:pre_miRNA from 1 species
GAAAUGGUGAGAGGUUUGAGGGGAGCUCAGGACCGGGUUGUGGAGAACCCCUCGAGGCCCGUCCCUCA